AUUGAACGCUAGCGGGAUGCCUUACACAUGCAAGUCGAACGGAGUGGCGAACGGGUGAGUAAUGUAUCGGAACGUGCCCAGUAGCGGGGGAUAACUACGCGAAAGCGUCGCUAAUACCGCACACUAUUGGAGCGGCCGACAGCGGAUUAGCUCGUUGUGGGGGUAACGGCUCACCAAGGCGACGAUCCUUAGCUGUUUUGAGAGGACGACCAGCCACACUGGGACGGAGACACGGCCCAGACUCCUACGUGAGGCAGCAGUGGGGAAUGUUGGACAAUGGGGGAAACCCUGAUCCAGCCAUGCCGCGUGUGCGAUGAAGGCCUUCGGGUUGUAAAGCACUUUUGGCAGGAAAGCGGUACCUGCAGAAUAAGCACCGGCUAACUACGUGCCAGCAGCCGCGGUAAUUC
rnacentral:rRNA from 1 species